CGCCUCUCUUUCUCUCUAUAUAUACGAAGCCAUUCGCCUAAAGCCCUAACAUCCGCAGCGGCAGCGAUAUUCGUCAGGUCAUACGCAGAUGACGACAAAAUAGACAGGGACAUCAGUACUCCAAAGGAGAAUGUUGACUUCGUCUAAUGGGAAUCUCUCUGAUGCGUUAUUGUGUUUUUUCUUUGUUUUUGUGUAAUGUUUUUAAGUUAGUAUUUCAAUGUGUUGUUUUUAGAACCAUUGUAACAUUUGCAAGUGACGAUAACUUAGACAGGGACAUCAGUACUUAUGCUAAGGAUGGUGAUUUGUCUUUGGGAAUCUCUCCGAUGCACAAUGAAUUUUCAUGAUAAUGUGGAUUGUGUUAACUAAGUCACAUAUGGUUGAAAAGAAACAUAUCUAUAGAUGAUGUUCUGAUUAUCUAAUGUAUUCUAUAAGCGGUAUUUUUCACUUUAACUGAACUGACGAGGAAUGUGUUUACUCAAAUUAUAUUUGCUGUAACCCGAUCCUAGAGUAGCGUCUUCUAAAUAUUGUCUGUUGGUAUGUAAUGUGUACUAAUAUGUUGAAUAAUUAAUCUAGUAUUAAUUUGGCCAAUGAUGUACUCAUUUUUACGUAUUAUCAGAUGUGUGUGUGAUGAUAUCUUAAUUGUCACUACCUCUGAGGCCAUCUUUUUGUUUGGUUUUCAUGUCAUUCUGAUUUUAACACCACUUUUUGAUUGGAUACGAAUGGAUUAUGUUUUAAAUAUUGAUUUUGUUUGUAGUUGGUUAAUUUGAUAACUUAUAUCUUGUUGCUUUGUGUUUUAAUCUCUUUUUACGGUCUAUUUAGCGAUUUCGCUUAAAAAUUAAAUCAUUUUGAUGACUGCCUAGUAGACAAUUUACCGACCCCCUUGGUAUUGUUUCAAUGGAUUUUUGAGCUGGGGUUAUGAAAUGACCUCUGACUCGGUGGUUCAUGUUAUUGACCGCAUCUUUUUGCUCUCUUAAUAUUGUUUGUAAUUGAAAAGCUUGUUUGCGCCAAAAUAAAAGCUUCCUUGGCCUGUAAAUUAGGUUUUGUUGUAUGUAUUUUACAAGCCUGAUGAUUGCCACUAAGAACGGAGAUUUGAAGAUGCUUCUGUUGAAGUUAGAUUAAAUUCGGACUCCAAAAGCAUCUUAAGAAAUAGAAUGUUUAUAUUGGUGUUAAUGAAGGCUUGUAAUCUAUGUUAAGCUCUUAUUAUGUAAGGCAAAUGGUUAUCUUAAAUGAAAAUCUAUACCGCACAUUUUGUUGUUGUGCUUUUGGAAUAUCAUUUUGAAUAUUUGGAGUUAGUGUUUUUUAAAUCUAAAUGACUUUUGAUUUGUUAUGUAAUUUUAAGUUUAAUUCCUUUGAAUUUGUGUGGUGUAUGCUUUAUGACAUGUUUUUAUAUAGACUAACCAAUUUUCUGGUGCAGAAUGUCUUAGCGAAUUUCUCAUGAUGAGUUCUAACCUAUGAAAUAUUUGAAUUUUGCUUUUCCCUGAAAGCAAUCGUGAUAAUGGGGAAAGGCCUAUUUUGUCUUAAUUUGGCUUUCCAAUAAUUAUUGGUCAUGAUCUGGCACCGAGUACCGAGGAAGAUGGAUUUGAGAGUUUCUAUGGUGUUUGAAACAAUUAAUAUGCAAUGAAAUUCAAGUGAUGAUUUACGGGGUGAGGUUAGCAGAGAAAAGUAAGCUAGGUCAAUUUGAAUUGACGAAAAUGUCCUUACCUUUGCACAUACAUGGUUCUUGUUCGUCUUCUUGAUUCUCCUCUCUCACUUCAUGGAGGCUAUAAUGCCAUGUACUUCCCUUCCUA